AUGGGACGGCAGUGGUCCGCCGGCAAGCUCGUUCUGAUCCUGGACGCAGUACAUUGGAAUCCUGAAGCACCACCACGAACGCUACCGCGCGUGCACCUGCGGUGCGGUAAGGCACCACCCUGUUGUGCCAGCAGCCAACUCCGGCGUGUCAGCUUAGUUAUCCUCAUCAAGCCACAACAAAACUCCAAACAUGUAAGAAUCUACCUUGAAGCAAGGUUUCUACUGGUUAAUGCGUUCCACCCUAUUGAUGACAGCUAA
rnacentral:rRNA from 1 species